AUUGAACGCUGGCGGCAGGCCUAACACAUGCAAGUCGAACGAGUGGCGGACGGGUGAGUAAUGUCUGGGAAACUGCCUGAUGGAGGGGGAGAACUACUGGAAACGGUAGCUAAUACCGCAUACCAUCAGAUGUGCCCAGAUGGGAUUCGCUAGUUGGUGGGGUAACGGCUCACCAAGGCGACGAUCCCUAGCUGGUCUGAGAGGUGGACCAGCCACACUGGAACGUAGACACGGUCCAGACUCCGACGGGAGGAAGCAGUGGGGAAUAUUGCACAAUGGGCGCAAGCCUGAUGCAGCCAUGCCGCGUGUAUGAAGAAGGCCUUCGGGUUCUAAAGUACUUUCAGCGGGGAGGCGUUACCCGCAGAAGAAGCACCGGCUAACUCCGUGCCAGCAGCCGCGGUAAUUC
rnacentral:rRNA from 1 species